CAGUCGCCGCGGUAAUACGUAGGUCCCGAGCGUUGUCCGGAUUUAUUGGGCGUAAAGGGAGCGCAGGCGGUUUAGUAAGUCUGAAGUUAAAGGCAUUGGCUCAACCAAUGUAUGCUUUGGAAACUGUUAGACUUGAGUGCAGAAGGGGAGAGUGGAAUUCCAUGUGUAGCGGUGAAAUGCGUAGAUAUAUGGAGGAACACCGGUGGCGAAAGCGGCUCUCUGGCUUGUAACUGACGCUGAGGCUCGAAAGCGUGGGGAGCAAACAGGAUUAGAUACCCCUGUAGUCCCUGUCUCUUAUACA
rnacentral:rRNA from 1 species